UCUGACGGAGCACGCCGCGUGAACGAUGAAGGCUUUCGGGUCGUAAAGUUCUGUUGUUAGGGAAGAACAAGUACCGGAGUAACUGCCGGUACCUUGACGGUACCUAACCAGAAAGCCACGGCUAACUACGUGCCAGCAGCCGCGGUAAUACGUAGGUGGCAAGCGUUGUCCGGAAUUAUUGGGCGUAAAGCGCGCGCAGGCGGUUCCUUAAGUCUGAUGUGAAAGCCCCCGGCUCAACCGGGGAGGGUCAUUGGAAACUGGGGAACUUGAGUGCAGAAGAGGAGAGCGGAAUUCCACGUGUAGCGGUGAAAUGCGUAGAGAUGUGGAGGAACACCAGUGGCGAAGGCGGCUCUCUGGUCUGUAACUGACGCUGAGGCGCGAAAGCGUGGGGAGCGAACAGGAUUAGAUACCCUGGUAGUCCACGCCGUAAACGAUGAGUGCUAAGUGUUAGAGGGUUUCCGCCCUUUAGUGCUGCAGCAAACGCAUUAAGCACUCCGCCUGGGGAGUACGGCCGCAAGGCUGAAACUCAAAGGAAUUGACGGGGGCCCGCACAAGCGGUGGAGCAUGUGGUUUAAUUCGAAGCAACGCGAAGAACCUUACCAGGUCUUGACAUCCUCUGACAACCCUAGAGAUAGGGCGUUCCCCUUCGGGGGACAGAGUGACAGGUGGUGCAUGGUUGUCGUCAGCUCGUGUCGUGAGAUGUUGGGUUAAGUCCCGCAACGAGCGCAACCCUUGAUCUUAGUUGCCAGCAUUCAGUUGGGCACUCUAAGGUGACUGCCGGUGACAAACCGGAGGAAGGUGGGGAUGA
rnacentral:rRNA from 1 species